GACGAACGCUGGCGGCGUGCUUAACACAUGCAAGUCGAACGGUGAAGCGCUUUCCUUUUUGGUUGGUGUGGAUGAGUGGCGAACGGGUGAGUAACACGUGAGUAACCUGCCCCCUUCUUCUGGAUAACCGCAUGAAAGUGUGGCUAAUACGGGAUAUUCUGCGCCUGCUGCAUGGUGGGUGUGGGAAAGAUUGUGCCUUUGGGUGUUUUCGGUGGGGGAUGGGCUCGCGGCCUAUCAGCUUGUUGGUGGGGGGAUGGCCUACCAAGGCGGUGACGGGUAGCCGGCCUGAGAGGGUGGACGGUCACACUGGGACUGAGACACGGCCCGGAGUCCUACGGGAGGAAGCAGUGGGGAAUAUUGCACAAUGGGCGCAAGCCUGAUGCAGCGACGCCGCGUGAGGGAUGGAGGCCUUCGGGUUGUGAACCUCUUUCGCCAGUGAAGCAGGCCUGCUCCGUGUGGGUGGGUUGACGGUAGCUGGAUAAGAAGCGCCGGCUAACUACGUG
rnacentral:rRNA from 1 species